rnacentral:lncRNA from 1 species
CUUUGGUACCCGGAUGCGGUGCCCUCUUCACCACUGACCAUAAAAGGAGAUAAAUGUGGACGAAUGAACCUUGAGAUAAAAUGAAAAUUAUCAGCUUCAUCACAUAUGCAUGGGUACAGUUACUUGAAAACAUAUUUUGCAUAGCAUACUUGAUAGGUAGUAGACAAAAUCUAUCAGUUCAGUCUUCAUGUUUAGCUAGAUCCGAACAUCUCUUAAAUCCCCUUUGCAGGAACCUACCUAGACAUGAAUAUCAGUGGGCAAGUCAUAAACCAAUUAAAGAAUGUAGAAACCAAUUAC